rnacentral:tRNA from 1 species
GGGAGUUUGGUCUAGUGGUAUGAUUCUUGCUUAGGGUGCGAGAGGUCGUGGGUUCAAUUCCCGCAACUCCCC